UACAGAGGGUGCAAGCGUUAAUCGGAAUUACUGGGCGUAAAGCGUGCGUAGACGGUUAUUUAAGUCAGGUGUGAAAGCCCCGGGCUCAACCUGGGAAUUGCAUUUGAGACUGAAUAGCUAGGGUGCGGAAGAGGGAAGCGGAAUUUCCGGUGUAGCGGUGAAAUGCGUAGAUAUCGGAAGGAACACCAGUGGCGAAGGCGGUGCUCUGGGCCGGAACUGACGCUGAGGAGCGAAAGCGUGGGGAGCGAACAGG
rnacentral:rRNA from 1 species